UUGUGGAGGAGGACGCCGAAGGUGGGGCUAAUGACUGGGGUGAAGUCGUAACAAGGUAGCCGUACCGGAAGGUGCGGCUGGAUCACCUCCUAACAGGGAGACAACAAAAUGUUUAAUAUUAUUAUUUUGUCACCUUAGGUCGAUCGGUAUCUCACGUUUUUAAUUUAUUAAGAAUUUCAUUUCCUAAGUUUUUCUAGGUCACACCCAUUAUUUUUCCUGGGCCAUUAGCUCAGGUGGUUAGAGCGCACCCCUGAUAAGGGUGAGGUCCCUGGUUCAAGUCCAGGAUGGCCCAUAUCUCUAUGUUGGGGGUAUAGCUCAGUUGGUAGAGCGCCUGCUUUGCAAGCAGGAUGUCAGCGGUUCGAGUCCGCUUACCUCCACUGAUUACCACCUCUUCCAUAACCGGUAGAAAGGAAAUUUUUUGAGUUGUGAUCAAAUUCUGAAAGAAUCUAGCUUCCUAAUGAAAUCAUUAAGAUGCUGGACUCAUUGAAUUAAUUUCAUUGUUUUCAGAGAACCUUGACAACUGCAUAGAUUAUUUUUAAAGACAAUAAGCAUCUUUAAUGAUGCAGAUUUAUUAUUUGUGCGAAUGCAUUAAUAACAAUUCUAUUAAGCUGAUGCUUCAAUUUUGAAGUUAUUGGUCAAGCUACAA
rnacentral:misc_RNA from 1 species